AUGUCAAAUCAUCAUGCCCCUUAUGUCUUGGGCUACACACGUGCUACAAUGGCGCAUACAGCGUGAAGCAAGCCCGCGAGGGCAAGCGAACCACCAAAAAGCGCCUUAGUUCGGAUUGCAGGCUGCAACCCGCCUGCAUGAAGUUGGAAUCGCUAGUAAUCGCGAAUCAGCAUGUCGCGGUGAAUACGUUCCCGGGCCUU
rnacentral:rRNA from 1 species